rnacentral:tRNA from 1 species
GGCCCCGUGGCUUAGCCUGGUAGAGCGCACGACUGAUAAUCGUGAGGUCCUGAGUUCAAAUCUCAGCGGGGCCA